AGGAUCGCAAUAUGCUGACUAUCAGGCUCAGAAAGUCUUUUUGCUACGAAACCAUAUAGAACAAUUGCAUUAAAAUAGAACGAAGAGACAAUGAAGAUGACAUGGAAUUCAUCAACAUGCUUUCCUUGAUCUACACAACCGCCUGCCCCAUGCUGCUGGCAGAGCAGUCUGUUCUCUUGGCCUAUGCAGAUGCAUAAAUGUAUAUUUACUCACAGAAGUCCAAUUCAGUUCAAACUUUCAUAAACUGUAUAUACAAUCCUAGCGACAAGGCAUUGGUUAAAAUAAUGUUAUCUGCAAGGACAAUGUACGGAUCUGCUAUUUAGAUUGCUGCCACCAUCUUUACUUAGCAUUUGAUUUGACUCAUAUUUCAUCAACUACAUAAUGUAAUUUUUUGACUGCUUAUUCUUCCUAUAUUUUUCUCUGCAUGUACAAUUACCACUAGCUAUUACAGCACCUAUCACCAUGAUAAUACCCAUAUACUGCCUUGGUUGUUUUGGUGCAAAGCCUGGAUGAAGGACUCACAUUCAUCUGUUGGGCUUGCUCCUUGUCUUCGGGGGUGGCAAG
rnacentral:lncRNA from 1 species